rnacentral:sRNA from 1 species
UUUACUACUGGGUUGGCCCAAAUCGUGUGUCUUUCUAGGGGUGGUGACCUCGCAGGAGUGAUGCGUCACUCACUUCCUCCAGGCAGAUGGAGAUGAUCCUUGAUAGGUCUGGUGGCUGGCUCGGGGUCUACUGAAGGCUGUCUUGAUCAGGAAACUGAAGACUCUCUGCUUUUGCCACAGCAGUUCCUGCAGCUUCCUUGAGAUGAGGAAACUGAGGCUCAGAGAGGUCACAUGGCUUGCUCGAGGCCCCCCAGCCAGUAAGUGGUGAAACCGGGAUUCGCACUGGCAGCUGACAUGCUGUACUGACCAUGGCCUUCUCAGAGCAGGAUUGUGACGGGGCGGACCAGGGGGACGGUGGUCCUGGCUGAGGGCACAGCUCGGGCAAAGGUGUGAACCCACAUCCCUGCCCCCAGGGCCACCUGCAGGACGCCGACACCUACCCCUCAGCAGACGCCGGAGAGAAAUGAGUAGCAA